UACGUAGGGUCCGAGCGUUGUCCGGAAUUAUUGGGCGUAAAGAGCUCGUAGGCGGUUUGUCGCGUCUGCUGUGAAAUCCCGAGGCUCAACCUCGGGUCUGCAGUGGGUACGGGCAGACUGGAGUGCGGUAGGGGGAGAAUGGAAUUCCUGGUGUAGCGGUGGAAUGCGCAGAUAUCAGGAGGAACACCGAUGGCGAAGGCGGUGGUCUGGGCCGGAACUGACGCUGAGGAGCGAAAGCGUGGGGAGCGAACAGG
rnacentral:rRNA from 1 species